AACGAACGCUGGCGGCAGGCCUAACACAUGCAAGUCGAACGCAUCGCAAGAUGAGUGGCGCACGGGUGAGUAACACGUGGGAAUGUAUCCUUUGGUUCGGAAUAAGGUUUGGAAACGAACGCUAAUACUGGAUGAGCCCUACGGGGGAAGAAUUUAUCGCCAAAGGAGCAGCCCGCGUCGGAUUAGGUAGUUGGUGGGGUAAUGGCCUACCAAGCCGACGAUCAGUAGCUGGUCUGAGAGGAUGAUCAGCCACACUGGGACUGAGACACGGCCCAGACUCCUACGGGAGGCAGCAGUGGGGAAUAUUGGACAAUGGGCGCAAGCCUGAUCCAGCCAUGCCGCGUGAGUGAUGAAGGCCUUCGGGUUGUAAAGCUCUUUCGCACACGACGAUGAUGACGGUAGUGUGAGAAGAAGCCCCGGCUAACUUCGUGCCAGCCGCCGCAGUAAGAC
rnacentral:rRNA from 1 species